rnacentral:rRNA from 1 species
GAUGAACGCUAGCUCCAGGCUUAACACAUGCAAGUCGCAGGGUAACAUGAGGAAAGCUUGCUUUCCUUGAUGACGACUGGCGCACGGGUGAGUAACGCGUAUCCAACCUUCCCAUAACUACGGGAUAACCCGUUGAAAGACGGCCUAAUACCGUAUGAUAUCGUUUGCUGACAUCAAAUAACGAUUAAAGGUUUAGCGGUUAUGGAUGGGGAUGCGUCUGAUUAGCUUGUUGGCGGGGUAACGGCCCACCAAGGCGACGAUCAGUAGGGGUUCUGAGAGGAAGGUCCCCCACAUUGGAACUGAGACACGGUCCAAACUCCUACGGGAGGCAGCAGUGAGGAAUAUUGGUCAAUGGGCGAGAGCCUGAACCAGCCAAGUAGCGUGCAGGACGACGGCCCUAUGGGUUGUAAACUGCUUUUAUGUGGGGAUAAAGUGCGUGACGUGUCAUGCAUUGCAGGUACCACAUGAAUAAGGACCGGCUAAUUCCGUG